ACUUGUUUAAAAGAGCUGUAAAAAGAAAUCCUGCAACAACUUCAGCAACUGAUUUAGAUUUUCAAUAUGAGGUUGUGCGUUUUUUGCAUGGUGCAUCAGACCGCAAUGGCGGAAAAAAAGUUAGACAAGACCAAAAAAUCAAUCAAGCCAAGAAAAAAGUGAUGUCUACAUCAAGUUUUCCAAUGCCAUUAAAUAAAGAGGCAUUUUUUAGUUCAGAAAAUGAAUAACAUUGUUAAAAAAAAUAAGCAUCUUUAUUCACAAAUUUGUUAUCUUUAUUUUACAAUAUUUAAUAUAUUUUUAAAUAUUUUAAGUUUUAAACUCUAUAGAGUAAAGUUUUUGUGCAAUGAGUAUUACUGUUUCCAUGUUUUUCAUAUUAAUUCCCUUUUACAGUAACCACUUGUAAAUGCGAUUGUAGAUGAGAAUUAAAAUCGUGAUAUUGAAUCUUACCAGAGAUUAAAGAAACAGUUUACCUCAACCAGAGUUAUAUUUCAUAGAAUUAUGUUGACGAUGAUCCAAAUAUUGCCAUGAAUGUGCACUUGUGUCUUAGGCUUAUGCUUUGCAAAAGAUUCACCAUUGCCUUUAAGUUGCUGUGGGUUUUAUGGUUUUACUUCCAACCUGGCAUAUAAAUGUACUUAUUCUCUGAAGUUAUUUGUCAAUAACUGGUGAUCAGACUAUUUCAAACGAACACGUUUUAAAGAGGAAAAAGUUGUAAGUCUGCAGACUGCAAUGUAAAUCAAUUUUCAACACAUGGUUUCCUGAAUAUAUUUAGUUUUCGAUUGAAAUGAG